rnacentral:rRNA from 1 species
AUUGAACGCUGGCGGCAUGCUUUACACAUGCAAGUCGAACGGUAGAGGGGGCAACCCCUCGAGAGUGGCGAACGGGUGAGUAAUAUAUCGGAACGUGCCCAGUCGUGGGGGAUAACGUAGCGAAAGUUACGCUAAUACCGCAUACGAUCUACGGAUGAAAGCGGGGGAUCGCAAGACCUCGCGCGAUUGGAGCGGCCGAUAUCAGAUUAGGUAGUUGGUGGGGUAAAGGCUCACCAAGCCAACGAUCUGUAGCUGGUCUGAGAGGACGACCAGCCACACUGGAACUGAGACACGGUCCAGACUCCUACGGGAGGCAGCAGUGGGGAAUUUUGGACAAUGGACGCAAGUCUGAUCCAGCCAUUCCGCGUGCAGGAUGAAGGCCCUCGGGUUGUAAACUGCUCUUGUACGGAACGAAAAGGUUUCCAUUAAUACUGGGAGCUCAUUGACGGUACCGUAAGAAUAAGCACCGGCUAACUACGUGCCAGCAG